UUCCCAUCCAAGGACCAAUGAGGUGCUCGC
rnacentral:piRNA from 1 species